AGAGAGGUGUCCGAGUGGUCGAAGGAGCACGCCUGGAAAGUGUGUAUAGCCCAAAAGGUUAUCGUGGGUUCGAAUCCCAUCCUCUCUA
rnacentral:tRNA from 2 species